rfam:Tstilago maydis 521 chromosome 17, whole genome shotgun sequence.
GGUUUCUUGGCGCAGUUGGUUAGCGCGUCUCCUUAACAAUUCUGAUCCAUCAGAUCGUUAGGGCUUACGGAGGAGGUCGCCGGUUCGAACCCGGCAGAAAUCA